rnacentral:rRNA from 1 species
UACAGAGGUCCCAAGCGUUGUUCGGAUUCACUGGGCGUAAAGGGUGCGUAGGCGGUCGGGUAAGUCUGAUGUGAAAUCUCACAGCUUAACUGUGAAACUGCAUUGGAUACUAUCCGGCUAGAGGAAUGGAGGGGAGACUGGAAUACUUGGUGUAGCAGUGAAAUGCGCAGAUAUCAGGAGGAACACCGGUGGCGAAGGCGGUGGUCUGGGCCGGAACUGACGCUGAGGAGCGAAAGCGUGGGGAGCGAACAGG